AAUAUAAGCAUUCCUGCAUGGUUUGCUUUCAACUCGAAGGAUGGUAUCCAUGUGGUUAGUGGUGAUUCUUAUUCUGAAUGUGUGUCGAUUGCUGAAUCGUGCAGAAAUACUGUGGCAGUUGGAAUCAACUGUACACCGCCUAGGUUUAUUCAUGAUCUAAUAACUUCCAUUAAGAAGGUCACUACAAAGCCUAUAGUGAUAUAUCCAAAUAGCGGUGAAAGUUAUGAUGCUGAUCUAAAGGAAUGGGUG
rnacentral:misc_RNA from 1 species